rnacentral:rRNA from 1 species
UACGGGGGGGGCAAGCGUUGUUCGGAAUUACUGGGCGUAAAGGGCGCGUAGGCGGGUGGACAAGUCUCUCGUGAAAGCCCACGGCUCAACCGUGGAAUUGCGGGAGAUACUGUCUGUCUUGAGUCCGGGAGAGGAGGGUGGAAUUUCCAGUGUUGCGGUGAAAUGCGUAGAUAUUGGGAGGAACACCGGUCGCGAAAGCGGCUCUCUGGACCGGUAAUGACGCUGAGUCGCGAAAGCUAGGGGAGCAAACGGG